AAAACUACCUCUACAUCUAGAGGUGAUUAGCUUAAAACCAAAAAAAAAAAGAAAGACAAGAUGGAGGGACUAUCCAUUUUCUUCAAAACUAAUACUGAAGCUCAUUGAGGGCUUGGUAUUUGUGUUGAAUUUACAGUUUUUGCAAGCCAUGUUAAAAGCUUUUAGCCUUUUCCAAAGGCUAAAAUGUCCAAAAGGGGUUGUUUUUCUUAGCCUUUCCAGGGCUAGAAAUGUUGACACAACUUCAGCUAAUUCAAUAGCUUGAGUUGAUGAUGAUGAUAUGUUUAUAUAUAGAUGUACAUGCACAUGAUUCUCUUGAAAGGAACCCUUCUCUUUCAAGGAGAUGCAAAGAAGGAAGAAAGAUGCAUGACUCUCCACAUUUGGAGGUGAUGACUUUAGCCCCUAUGGGGGGCUUUGUGUAUGCGAAA
rnacentral:lncRNA from 1 species